UACGAAGGGGGCUAGCGUUGCUCGGAUUGACUGGGCGUAAAGGGCGCGUAGGCGGUUUGUACAGUCAGGCGUGAAAUUCCUGGGCUCAACCUGGGGGCUGCGUUUGAUACGUAUAGACUUGAGUUCGGAAGAGGGUCGUGGAAUUCCCAGUGUAGAGGUGAAAUUCGUAGAUAUUGGGAAGAACACCGGUGGCGAAGGCGGCGACCUGGUCCGAUACUGACGCUGAGGCGCGAAAGCGUGGGGAGCAAACAGG
rnacentral:rRNA from 1 species